UUAACCGACCUCAAUUCUGACUUGUGUGCCAAGUCCGACACCUGCAUAGACGGCAUUCCAGAAAGCAGGUUAUGCAACUCUUAACCCAACAUCUGAUUGACAAUGUUGCAGCACCUGGCAAUGUUGCUACAAUUCUGGGUGUUAGCUGGGGAGUUAAUUUACCGGGGUAUGUCAUAUAACCUACUUUCUAGAAUAUCCCUAUGGGCUCAAAUGGAGGCCAAAAGUAUUGCAAAUGCGUAUAGGACGAACAACAAAUGUAAAACGUGUUCCAAAAAUGUAAAACGUGUUCCGCAAAUGUCUAACUUGUUUGGCCAAUACUAAACUGGUUCUGCAAUGCAAAUUGCUUUCCAAUUAUAUACUUUGCUGGAUUAGGUUAUUUUACAGUGCACCCAAUGGCCACGGGCAAGAGCCAUGAACAAUGAUCCAGAUAUGCAAUAGUGGAACUAUCCCAUGGUGACUUCAUUGGAUUGUGAAUGCGGGGCCUGCUGGAUGGCAGUCAGCAGAGAGGGGAACCAGGUCGUCGGUCAUAAGCGCUCUGGUGCCCAGCGUUGUUGCCAUGGAUGCUAACGUUACACAGGAGCGUCCUUUGUUCAGUAGUUUGUGAGUAAUUUGUCACCCACGGAGUUGGGGGAUUCCAGCCGAAAGAAUCCCCCAACUACUUCAUCAGAGUCUACACGGAGCCCCUCCUGGUUAACUUGCCCACUCUGGACUUCAACAUGCCCUACAACGUCAUUUGUCUCACCUGUACCUUGAUUGCCGUGGGCUACGGAUCUCUAACCUUCUGACCCACACCUACCAGGUGGAGGAGCCCAUCCCAGGCCUGGCCAAGAAGCUAGUUAACAUGGUUAUAAUUUGGGGAUGUUUUAUCAUGCAGGCUGUCAUUCUUUAGAAUCAUAAGGCUGUGCUUGUCUGGCUUCAGCACUGACGCCACAUUGUUUCUUGAGAGAAUUGGACCUGAGAUACCAUGAGAUACAAGAAUGAAGUUGCUCUCAGAUCCUGUCUGUAGACUGGAGAAACUCCAGUUAGUAUCAGCCACUGCUACAUUCAAACAGUCAGGUUCUCUCGCUUAGUGAAUAAUCAAUUUUUCAGGUUCCAUACACAUGUUGUGUGUGUGUGUGUGUAUAUAUAUGUCUGUGUGUUUAUGUGUGUGUGUCUUACUGUCUGUGUCUCAGUGUCUCUCACAGUGUGAACCAGAAUUAUAUGAUCUAGGUGAAACCACAGCUACGGAGACCCCCUUGGCUGUGA